UUUCCUUCCCUUUGGCAGGCGGAGGCGAGAGGAUCACUUGAGCAUGGACAUUCAAGACCAGCCUGGGCAGCAAAUGUUACGUGGCUGCAUGACCAUACACUUCUGGGUAGAGCCCAGUGGAAGACAAAGAAGACUCAAGGAAUAGCCCUUGAGGUAAUGGAUGAGAAAGUGCUUUGUAAAUUACAAUGCUCUGACACAAGUCAAGUUCAUUCAUCCAUUCCAUAAACCUCUGCCGAGAGCCUGCUUUUGCCAGGCACAGGGCGAAGUGCUGGAAGACAGAAGUGCUGGGUGAAUCCUGCAGGGGGAGAUGGCCAAGGCAAUCGGCAUGGAGCCCCCAGGUGAUGAGUGAGGUGGGAGGUGCGGGGCUCCCUGCCUGCUCAUCUCAGCAGGAGAUCCAACUGCUGUUCGGGCUCUAUCACCCAGUAGCUGUGUGACUUUAGGCAAUCUGCCUUACCAGCUGUGCCUCGGUUUCCUUAUUUGUAAAAUGGUUGGAGAGUAGUACCUACCUCACUGAGUUGUCUGGAGCUCCCACAUGCAAAAU
rnacentral:lncRNA from 1 species